rnacentral:rRNA from 1 species
UACGUAGGUGGCAAGCGUUGUCCGGAUUUACUGGGCGUAAAGGGCGUGCAGGCGGCCCGUUAAGUGCAGGGUGAAAGCUCCCGGCUCAACUGGGAGAGGUCCUUGCAUACUGGCGGGCUUGAGGGAGCUAGAGGAGAGUGGAAUUCCCGGUGUAGUGGUGAUAUGCGUAGAUAUCGGGAGGAACACCAGUGGCGAAGGCGGCUCUCUGGGGCUUUCCUGACGCUGAGACGCGAAAGCGUGGGGAGCGAACCGGAUUAGAUACCCGGGUAGUCCACGCCGUAAACUAUGGACACUAGGUGUGGGGGGUAUCGACCCCCUCCGUGCCGAAGCUAACGCAUUAAGUGUCCCGCCUGGGGAGUACGGCCGCAAGGCUAAA